AACGAACGCUGGCGGCAUGCCUAACACAUGCAAGUCGAACGAGACCUUCGGGUCUAGUGGCGCACGGGUGCGUAACGCGUGGUAACCUGCCCUUAGGUUCGGAAUAACUCCCCGAAAGGUGUGCUAAUACCGGAUAAUGUCUUCGGACCAAAGAUUUAUCGCCUUUGGAUGGGCCCGCGUUGGAUUAGCUAGUUGGUAGGGUAAAAGCCUACCAAGGCGACGAUCCAUAGCUGGUCUGAGAGGAUGAUCAGCCACACUGGGACUGAGACACGGCCCAGACUCCGACGGGAGGCAGCAGUGGGGAAUAUUGGACAAUGGGCGAAAGCCUGAUCCAGCAAUGCCGCGUGAGUGAUGAAGGCCUUAGGGUUGUAAAGCUCUUUUACACGGGAUGAUAAUGACAGUACCGGGAGAAUAAGCUCCGGCUAACUCCGUG
rnacentral:rRNA from 1 species